UAUUUAACCAGGUAGGCCAGUUGAGAACACCUUUAUUUAACCAGGUAGGCCAGUUGAGAACACCUUUAUUUAACCAGGUAGGCCAGUUGAGAACACCUUUAUUUAACAAGGUAGGCUAGUUGAGAACACCUUUAUUUAACCAGGUAGGCCAGUUGAGAACACCUUUAUUUAACCAGGUAGGCCAGUUGAGAACACCUUUAUUUAACCAGGUAGGCUAGUUGAGAACACCUUUAUUUAACCAGGUAGGCUAGUUGAGAACACCUUUAUUUAACCAGGUAGGCUAGUUGAGAACACCUUUAUUGAACCAGGUAGGCUAGUUGAGAACACCUUUAUUUAACCAGGUAGGCCAGUUGAGAACACCUUUAUUUAACCAGGUAGGCUAGUUGAGAACACCUUUAUUUAACCAGG
ensembl:lncRNA